UACGUAGGGGGCAAGCGUUGUCCGGAAUCAUUGGGCGUAAAGCGCGUGUAGGCGGCCUUGUAAGUCCGUUCGUGAAAGCCCCGGGGCUCAACCCCGGGAGGCGGAUGGAUACUGCAGGGCUCGAGUACGGAAGAGGCGAGUGGAAUUCCCGGUGUAGCGGUGAAAUGCGCAGAUAUCGGGAGGAACACCAAUGGCGAAGGCAGCUCGCUGGGCCGUAACUGACGCUGAGGAGGCGAAAAGCAUGGGGGAGCCGAACAGG
rnacentral:rRNA from 1 species